UUCCCAAGUAAUAGUGCCUCAAGAAUUCAGGACACUAAUUAAUAUGUACCAAUAACUGAGGUAAGUAUUUUACCUAACUCACUCUCUGCUUAUUAUUUGGGACAUCAACCCUCUUUCAAAUGAAGUAUGGACCUCUUCUAACUGAUAUAGUCUACCUUUAAUUUUUUUCAUGAUUUUAAAAAUGAGAAUAUUCUACAAUUUGGAUACCUUAUCAUUUUUUAGAACAUAUACAAGUUAUUAGAAAAUGUUUGGUGCAAAAGAGAAAAACCAACAGCUGGGAACGGGCCCAGCACUUAGAGCUGGGCCUUGACGUUCUAUUGAACAUAAACCAUUUCACAUAAAACCAUCAGAUAAGGCAAUUGUGCCUAUGAUAGAUCCAAACAAAAAAAGACUACUUCACAAUCAAAUCUGGACUUGGACAAAAGACAGAACAUCAUUGGAACUGCAAAAAUGACCAAAGAUCCCCUUAUGAUGGCCAAUACAAGUGACUUUUUUUAAAAAAAUUAUAGCCUCAGGCUUGUUUUAUUCUACUUACUGGCUUUUUAUAUGAGAUCUAUUAAAAUACUCAAUACUCUGCCAUAGUUUAAAGGAUAGCUCAUGUGGUGGUCAAUACAUCAAACUGUUUUGUUAGCUUUCAUUCAAACCACCCAAAAGCCACUGGGCAUAUGAAAUGCACAGUUGAAAACAAGUGCCUAAUAGUUUGAUAUUUUUUUCCCCUCAUAGGUUUCCUUUAGGAACGUCUCAUAACUAUUUAUUGUGUCCACAACGAUUACAAGGCCUCUUAGAUCAGGUAUGUCUAUGAAAGUAUGGGCCCAGCAUGCUUCUGCUGCGCAACUCAGCUGUCUCCUAAAAAGGAUUUAAAAUCAACAGAGCAAAAACAAGGAGCCAGCAGAUGAAUGCUUUCCUAGUUACCUUUGGCAGCAAGCUUCCUCACAUUCCCUGACUGCUCAAUGGAUUGUAAAGCAACGUACAGCACAAUUAAAUACAAAGCCAGAUCUGUACAUAAAACUGCCUGCUGUUUAUCUGGAUGCUCCACAACAUGCAAAUUGCUAUAUCCACAACUGAAGUCAUCAUCUUCCUUAUCCCCCUCCACAGUCCACUGCCUUGUCCUGGACCCCUUUAUCCCCAGACCACCACCAUCCAUCACCCAGUUCCUUAAAGUGAAAGCAGAAACCAUCCUGGAUUUUCCUUUGUACUCCACAUUUAAUAGAUUAUCAGAUCCUGACACUCCUAUUCUUUCAUCUUGAAUUCCUCUUUCUCCUCAUGCCCUCUGCCACUGUCUUGCCUCCAACU